rnacentral:lncRNA from 1 species
CAAUGCAUUGAUGAACUAGUGGAGGCCUCCAAUAAUCAUCAAAAAAUAGUGGCCAAGGCUUUGGAGGCAACCAACAGGGGAAGUGGGAGUUGAAGGCCCUGUUGGGGAGUCUCUAGAAGAGGUCGUGGAUAUGAGGCAUCAACUUCACACGGUGAAGAACCCGUGAAUAGUCAUAUAAAAAACUUCCAUUCAACAGAAGAUUAUGACUUUUUCGACAACUAUUGGAGGAGAUUUGUCUAUGAUGAGCUACUGAAUUAAACUCGGGAAAUGUAUCCUGAUUUUGACACCAGAAGAAUUUCUUCGAGUUGAAGAGCCACCUACCCCAGCAGACAGCUAAAUGGAUCUGGUUGAUCAUCCGUCUGAUGCCCAAUACCCUCCAGUUGACCCCGAAUCUUAUGAUCUUAUUUCUUUCCCUUUCUGAAUUUUGUAACUUUCAAGGCUUCGUUUUCCUUGUAAAUAUUUUCUUGUUAAUUAAGUAUUGCCUUUUGAAUUCUACUUUAUAAGUAAAAAAAAAUAAUAAGAACUGAUCUCUUAACCACCAAGGCCCUGUUUGGUACACAUUAAUAUAAAAAUGAAAAUGAAAAAUAUAGACGUUACGAACCCC